rnacentral:rRNA from 1 species
GACGAACGCUGGCGGCGUGCUUAACACAUGCAAGUCGAACGGAAAGGCCCUGCUUUUGUGGGGUGCUCGAGUGGCGAACGGGUGAGUAACACGUGAGUAACCUGCCCUUGACUGUGGGAUAACUUCAGGAAACUGGGGCUAAUACCGGAUAGGAGCUCCUGCUGCAUGGUGGGGGUUGGAAAGUUUCGGCGGUGGGGGAUGGACGUGCGGCUUAUCAGCUUGUUGGUGGGGUAGUGGCUUACCAAGGCAUUGACGGGUAGCCGGCCUGAGAGGGUGACCGGCCACAUUGGGACUGAGAUACGGCCCAGACUCAUACGGGAGGCAGCAGUGGGGAAUAUUGCACAAUGGGCGGAAGCCUGAUGCAGCAACGCCGCGUGCGGGAUGACGGCCUUCGGGUUGUAAACCGCUUUCGCCUGUGACGAAGCGUGAGUGACGGUAAUGGGUAAAGAAGCACCGGCUAACUACGUG